rnacentral:lncRNA from 1 species
CGUCUGCUCCUCCCCUGAUCGCCGUGGAUCCUCGCGCGCCGGGCGCGUCUGGCCCCCUCCUCCGUUGCGCCCCGCGGGGACAUUCACGAGCGCGCGCACCUCCUCGCACAGAGGAACCCGGGGUUGGGAGGCUCCGAGCGAGCUGCGAUUGGCUGACGUGGAGGCUGCGCGUCUGGCCUGAGAAACUCUGGGCGAGAGCGCAGAGUCUGCUCCCGGGGCUGUGCAGGGCGCAUCUCAGUUAAUCCAAAAGUAAAUGAGGAACUUAGAAAAAGAUUGCCAACUCCAGAUCAACAUAUUUAGAGAAAAUUGGAAUAGGAGAAGCUUGCUACAGCUCUAUUUGAGGACUUUUUAAAGAACGCAGAGUUCUAGCUGUGAGCCUCAAAUCUUGGCGCAAAAACCAGAGACAUUGCCAGAGCAAACAAGAACAGAAGUGCAAAUGGAGGACUGGUCAAAAGGUCAGAGAGUCAAGACUUAAGAUUCUGAAGCAAUUGAUAAGGUGUUGCCAUGGGGCACGCAGAAGCCUUGUGUACUGCAGUCCGUGGGGUCGCAAAGAGUUGGACGCACCUGAGCGACUGAACAGCAACAGUAACAGUGGGGAACUGGGGGCUUUUCCUUACUGGCUAUGCUCCUUGGCUUAUCUUUUUACCUGUUGAAGAAUCUUUGUACUUCAUAAACUGAAGAAUAGCAUAGGGCCUAAUAUGAAUUGUUGUCUUCUGAUAUGCCUCUGGAGACAAUUUUUGUUGUUUUGAUAUUGUUUUCUAUAGCUGUAAUUUUCUUUAAAUUACUUUAAAAGUCAUAGGUGUUCAGGAUGGGGAACACAUGUAUACCUGUGGUGGAUUCAUUUUGAUACUUGGCAAAACUAAUACAAUUAUGUAAAGUUUAAAAAUAAAAUAAAAAAAAAAAGUCA